rnacentral:tRNA from 1 species
GCGGGCGUGGCGGAACUGGCAGACGCGCUAGGUUUAGGUCCUAGUGGGAGAAAUCCCGUGGAGGUUCGAGUCCUCUCGCCCGCA